rnacentral:rRNA from 1 species
AUUGAACGCUGGCGGCAGGCCUAACACAUGCAAGUCGAGCGAGCGGGGGACGGGGGAGUAAUGUUUGGGAAACUGCCUGAUGGAGGGGGAGACCUACUGGAAACGGUAGCUAAUACCGCAAACCAUCGGAUGUGCCAAGAUGGGAUUAGCUAGUAGGUGGGGUAACGGCUCACCUAGGCGACGAUCCCUAGCUGGUCUGAGAGCAGGACCAGCAAGACUGGAACUGAGACACGGUCCAGACUCCUCCGUGAGGCAGCAGUGUGGAAUAUUGCACAAUGGGCGCAAGCCUGAUGCAGCCAUGCCGCGUGUGUGAAGAAGGCCUUCGGGUUGUAAAGCACUUUCAGCGGGGAGGCGUUACCCGCAGAAGAAGCACCGGCUAACUCCGUGCCAGCAGCCGCGGUAAUUC